GACGAACGCUGGCGGCGUGCUUAACACAUGCAAGUCGAACGAUGAAGAAGAGAAACGCGAACUUCGGUUCAAAUUUCACUUCGGAUUAGUGGCAGACGGGUGAGUAACGCGUGAGCAACCUACCUCUUACAAAGGGAUAGCCUCGGGAAACCGUGAUUAAUACCAUAUGACACAUUCAUAAGGCAUCUUAAGAAUGUUAAAGCUACGGCGGUAAGAGAUGGGCUCGCGUCCCAUUAGCUAGUUGGUGAGGUAACGGCCCACCAAGGCGACGAUGGGUAACCGGCCUGGGAGGGUGAACGGUCACAUUGGAACUGAGACACGGUCCAAACUCCUACGGGAGGCAGCAGUGGGGAAUAUUGCACAAUGGAGGGAACUCUGAUGCAGCGACGCCGCGUGAGCGAUGAAGGAAUUCGUGUCGUAAAGCUCUGUUCUAUGGGAAGAAAAGGACGGUACCAUAGGAGAAAGCCCCGGCUAAAUACGUG
rnacentral:rRNA from 1 species